UUUUUUUUUGUAUUAUUCUUUACACUUGUUAAAGCACUUUGUAACUUGUUUUUGAAAAUUGCUCUACAAAUAAGGAUCAUUAUUAUUAUUAUUAUUUGUGUCGGUCGGUUAUUUUGUAGGAGUUGCCCAGAAAACGGUGCAUUCUAUUGUAUCUGCCUUGACGCUUAGAUUUUGAUAAUUUGUUUCCCCUUACUUUUUUAAUCACAAACAGACUAACAAGCAGUGAAUAAUAACAACAACAAAAAAAGACACAUGCCUUUGUUGUGAGAGACCUGGGUUCAAUUUCCCACUGUGACCCAUCCACCAUUGUGUCCCGGAGCAAGACACUUAAUGUCACGAGGCCCCGGCUGUGAGCCUGUGAUUGUUAUGGAUGUCUGUCUGGUGUGCGUGUGGUGAGCGUGUCGUUUGUUUGUCUCUGCUUGGCUCUUCCUCUCUCGCUCCAGUCUGGGAGCUGGGGGCGUGUCUGCUGCGGGCUCCGCACUCACCUGAGUCCCAUCUGCAAUCAGCACACCUGACCUGCACUCACCGCUGCUUAAAGGAGAGGCCCCGCCGGAUCGUUUGAUCGCCACGCAAGACUCCCACCGCCUCAGCAACCACCCGCCUGUUAGCCUCGGUUCCGCCCGCAGCCUGGACACUCCCAGCUCACGGAUUUCCCUACACCCCGGACCUGGAGAGAGCCCUAGCCCCGAGAUCUCAGACUUCCCUUGCUGAGUCUCUUUGAAUAAACUGUCUAACUCUGA